GCUGUAGCUCAAUGGUAGAGUGCUCGCCUAGCAUGCUUGAGGCCCUGGGUUUGAUUCCCAGCACUGCA
rnacentral:tRNA from 1 species